UUGAACGCUGGCGGCAGGCCUAACACAUGCAAGUCGAACGGUAACAGGAAGAAGCUUGCUUCUUUGCUGACGAGUGGCGGACGGGUGAGUAAUGUCUGGGAAACUGCCUGAUGGAGGGGGAUAACUACUGGAAACGGUAGCUAAUACCGCAUAACGUCGCAAGACCAAAGAGGGGGACCUUCGGGCCUCUUGCCAUCGGAUGUGCCCAGAUGGGAUUAGCUAGUAGGUGGGGUAACGGCUCACCUAGGCGACGAUCCCUAGCUGGUCUGAGAGGAUGACCAGCCACACUGGAACUGAGACACGGUCCAGACUCCUACGGGAGGCAGCAGUGGGGAAUAUUGCACAAUGGGCGCAAGCCUGAUGCAGCCAUGCCGCGUGUAUGAAGAAGGCCUUAGGGUUGUAAAGUACUUUCAGCGGGGAGGAAGGGAGUAAAGUUAAUACCUUUGCUCAUUGACGUUACCCGCAGAAGAAGCACCGGCUAACUCCGUGCCAGCAGCCGCGGUAAUACGGAGGGUGCAAGCGUUAAUCGGAAUUACUGGGCGUAAAGCGCACGCAGGCGGUUUGUUAAGUCAGAUGUGAAAUCCCCGGGCUCAACCUGGGAACUGCAUCUGAUACUGGCAAGCUUGAGUCUCGUAGAGGGGGGUAGAAUUCCAGGUGUAGCGGUGAAAUGCGUAGAGAUCUGGAGGAAUACCGGUGGCGAAGGCGGCCCCCUGGACGAAGACUGACGCUCAGGUGCGAAAGCGUGGGGAGCAAACAGGAUGAGUUACCCUGGUAGUCCACGCCGUAAACGAUGUCGACUUGGAGGUUGUGCCCUUGAGGCGUGGCUUCCGGAGCUAACGCGUUAAGUCGACCGCCUGGGGAGUACGGCCGCAAGGUUAAAACUCAAAUGAAUUGACGGGGGCCCGCACAAGCGGUGGAGCAUGUGGUUUAAUUCGAUGCAACGCGAAGAACCUUACCUGGUCUUGACAUCCACAGAACUUUCCAGAGAUGGAUUGGUGCCUUCGGGAACUGUGAGACAGGUGCUGCAUGGCUGUCGUCAGCUCGUGUUGUGAAAUGUUGGGUUAAGUCCCGCAACGAGCGCAACCCUUAUCCUUUGUUGCCAGCGGUCCGGCCGGGAACUCAAAGGAGACUGCCAGUGAUAAACUGGAGGAAGGUGGGGAUGACGUCAAGUCAUCAUGGCCCUUACGACCAGGGCUACACACGUGCUACAAUGGCGCAUACAAAGAGAAGCGACCUCGCGAGAGCAAGCGGACCUCAUAAAGUGCGUCGUAGUCCGGAUUGGAGUCUGCAACUCGACUCCAUGAAGUCGGAAUCGCUAGUAAUCGUGGAUCAGAAUGCCACGGUGAAUACGUUCCCGGGCCUUGUACACACCGCCCGUCACACCAUGGGAGUGGGUUGCAAAAGAAGUAGGUAGCUUAACCUUCGGGAGGGCGCUUACCACUUUGUGAUUCAUGACUGGGGUG
rnacentral:rRNA from 1 species